rnacentral:lncRNA from 1 species
UUAGCUAUUUACCCAUGUAUCCAUCUAAUAAGUUUCACGUUUCUAAUAAGAGUAGUUCUUUGUUAUUUUCACAUUUUGUUUUGUUUUCAUAAAUUUAACCCAUCCUUCUUUAUAUAAACUCUCCUUUUCUUGAUUUCUUUUUUUCAUGUACAAUUUUUAAAACAACAUAUUAUGAUAUCAAUACUUUAUAUUUUAUAAUUUCAGAUUUAAAAAAAGUCAAAUAUCAAUAUAUUACAAUUCAAGUCAAUAAAAUUA